rnacentral:rRNA from 1 species
UGGGGAAUAUUGCACAAUGGGCGAAAGCCUGAUGCAGCAACGCCGCGUGAGUGAUGAAGGCCUUCGGGUUGUAAAGCUCUGUCUUUUGGGACGAUAAUGACGGUACCAAAGGAGGAAGCCACGGCUAACUACGUGCCAGCAGCCGCGGUAAUACGUAGGUGGCAAGCGUUGUCCGGAUUUACUGGGCGUAAAGGAUGCGUAGGCGGAUUUUUAAGUGAGAUGUGAAAUACCCGGGCUUAACUUGGGUGCUGCAUUUCAAACUGGGAAUCUAGAGUGCGGGAGAGGAGAAUGGAAUUCCUAGUGUAGCGGUGAAAUGCGUAGAGAUUAGGAAGAACACCAGUGGCGAAGGCGACUCUCUGGACCGUAACUGACGCUGAGGCAUGAAAGCGUGGGUAGCAAAACAGGAUUAGAUACCCUGGUAGUCCACGCCGUAAAACGAUGAGUACUAGGUGUAGGAGGUAUCGACCCCUUCUGUGCCGCAGUUAACACAAUAAGUACUCCGCCUGGGAAGUACGAUCGCAAGAUUAAAAAC